rnacentral:rRNA from 1 species
UGAGGAAUAUUGCGCAAUGGGGGAAACCCUGACGCAGCGAUGCCGCGUGGGUGAAGAAGGCCUUCGGGUCGUAAAGCCCUGUCAAACGGGAAGAACAGUCUGGGGACGAAUAAUCCCCAGGCCUGACGGUACCGUUGAAGGAAGCACCGGCUAACUCCGUGCCAGCAGCCGCGGUAAGACGGAGGGUGCGAGCGUUAUUCGGAUUUAUUGGGCGUAAAGAGCAUGUAGGCGGUCGGCCAAGUCUGAUGUGAAAGCCCGGGGCUUAACCUCGGAAGGGCGUUGGAAACUGGUCGACUUGAGUUCGGGAGAGGAAAGCGGAAUUCCGGGUGUAGAGGUGAAAUUCGUAGAUAUCCGGAGGAACACCGGUGGCGAAGGCGGCUUUCUGGACCGAAACUGACGCUGAGAUGCGAAAGCGUGGGGAGCAAACA